CGAACCCUAUAUUGGGUGCAACAUAUUUUAAUUGGAACGAAACUGAGAAGAUUAGCAUGGCCCCUGCUCAAGGAUGACACGCAAAUUCGUGAAGCAUUCCAUAUUUUC